AUUGAACGCUGGCGGCAUGCUUUACACAUGCAAGUCGAACGGUAACAGGCCGCAAGGUGCUGACGAGUGUCGAACGGGGGAGUAAUGCAUCGGAACGGGCCCAGUCGUUGGGGAUAACUACUCGAAAGAGUAACUAAUACCUCAUACCAUCUAUGGAUGUAAGCAGGAGACCUUAAGGCCUCGCGCGGUUGGAGCGGCCGCUGUCAGAUUAGGUAGUUGGUGGGGUAAAGGCUCACCAAGCCAACGAUUUGUAGCGGGUCUGAGAGGACGACCAGCCACACUGGGACUGAGACACGGCCCAGACUCCUACGGGAGGCAGCAGUGGGGAAUUUUGCACAAUGGGCGAAAGCCUGAUCCAGCAAUGCCGCGUGCAGGAAGAAGGCCUUCGGGUUGUAAACUGCUUUUGUAAGGAACGAAACGGCUCUGGUUAAUACACGGGGCUAAUGACGGUACCGUAACAGAAAGCACCGGCUAACUACGUG
rnacentral:rRNA from 1 species